UUCAUAACCAUUCUCUAAUUGCUAGGGAGCUAGUAGAACACUUAGCAACUUUAAAAAAGGGGGUGAGUUGUAAUAAAACACAUGGUAAAAAAAUGUAGAGGCUUCAACACAAAAAGUGCUGUUUCAUUUUCACACCCAGGUCAUAAGGGUGGGGACAGAAUGGAGAGGUGGGCUCACUCUCUGCAAUUAUGCGAAAACCUAGCUCUUUCAUCCUCUAAGACCUCAGUUUUCCACUGUAUUUUCUGGAUGCAGCCAAGUGGCAGUUAGAAAACGGAGUACAUAUUUCCAUCCAAUUAUAUUAGGUAGAAUUCACUCAUAUGGCCUUAGGCAACCACAUAGAAACCUGGAGAAUGUAGGCUAGCUGUGUACCAAGGAAGAAAAGGGUUUCAUAGAGCCAAGGCAUUUUCUCAGAGGUUGAAGAUUUAUAGCUUAAAUCAAAUAUGUAGGUCAUUUUUUUUUCUUACCUAAUCACACACAUUUUUCUUAUCCUCUUACAUGUGAAUAAAUGCUGUCCACUAUUCUUCCUUAAGAUUGAAAACAUUCCCACAGUUCUGUGUGUCUUUCAUGUUGCUAUCUUAUUGCAGACCCUUCCUCUUUCUCAUCAAGAUCGAUGAACCAUCCACAUAACUAAUGAUCUCCCUCUGAAUGUCUUCCAGUGUUCUUCACAUAGAUUCCACAUAGAUUCCCAGUGAUCUUUGAAAAAGCAUAUGUGAUCCUGUCACUUCCUGCUUAAAUCUUUAAAUAGGAACCUUUCUCUAUAACAAAAGUUUAAGCUGCUUAGCAGAGAUUGUAAUGACCUAAAUUCUUGGCAUGGUCUGACAGAAAGUCAUAGUUGUUAGUAUCAAGGCUAGCAUUAUGACUGCAGAAAAUUCCUCAUUCUGGUUAUGCCAUGUCCUAGGUGUUAAAACUUGGCAGGUUUUUCUGAAGCUAAAGUUUAUAUCCUUUUCUCUGAGGAAUGAUACGUUUAUGUGAAUCAACCAUAAUCUUGACCAGUCUUAACUUCAAACAAUGAUGCCUAUUUGAUAAAAUAUUAACUUUAGAUAAUAUUGUUGGAACAGAGGCUUUAAUAUUUGGAGCUAAAUAAUACAUGCUUGGAUACUGAAUGAAUCAGUAGUUUUAGGAGAUACUAUUCAUUCUAAACAUAAAAUGAAGUAUACUAGUUUUAUAAUAUAAAAUUAAUAUAGUUAAAAUGACUU
rnacentral:lncRNA from 1 species